rnacentral:rRNA from 1 species
GAUGAACGCUGGCGGCGUGCCUAAUACAUGCAAGUCGAGCGAACAGACGAGGAGCUUGCUCCUCUGACGUUAGCGGCGGACGGGUGAGUAACACGUGGAUAACCUACCUAUAAGACUGGGAUAACUUCGGGAAACCGGAGCUAAUACCGGAUAAUAUAUUGAACCGCAUGGUUCAAUAGUGAAAGACGGUUUUGCUGUCACUUAUAGAUGGAUCCGCGCCGCAUUAGCUAGUUGGUAAGGUAACGGCUUACCAAGGCAACGAUGCGUAGCCGACCUGAGAGGGUGAUCGGCCACACUGGAACUGAGACACGGUCCAGACUCCUACGGGAGGCAGCAGUAGGGAAUCUUCCGCAAAGGGCGAAAGCCUGACGGAGCAAAGCCGCGUGAGUGAUGAAGGUCUUCGGAUCGUAAAACUCUGUUAUUAGGGAAGAACAAAUGUGUAAGUAACUAUGCACGUCUUGACGGUACCUAAUCAGAAAGCCACGGCUAACUACGUG